rnacentral:rRNA from 1 species
UCCGGGGAUAACAGGCUGAUACCGCCCAAGAGUUCAUAUCGACGGCGGUGUUUGGCACCUCGAUGUCGGCUCAUCACAUCCUGGGGCUGAAGUAGGUCCCAAGGGUAUGGCUGUUCGCCAUUUAAAGUGGUACGCGAGCUGGGUUUAGAACGUCGUGAGACAGUUCGGUCCCUAUCUGCCGUGGGCGCUGGAGAACUGAGGGGGGCUGCUCCUAGUACGAGAGGACCGGAGUGGACGCAUCACUGGUGUUCGGGUUGUCAUGCCAAUGGCACUGCCCGGUAGCUAAAUGCGGAAGAGAUAAGUGCUGAAAGCAUCUAAGCACGAAACUUGCCCCGAGAUGAGUUCUCCCUGAGACUUAGAGUCUCCUGAAGGAACGUUGAAGACGACGACGUUGAUAGGCCGGGUGUGUAAGCGCAGCGAUGCGUUGAGCUAACCGGUACUAAUGAACCGUGAGGCUUAACCUUACAACGCCGAAG